CACGUAGGCACCAAGCGUUGUCCGGAUUUAUUGGGCGUAAAGGGCUCGUAGGCGGUGUGUCGCGUCGGCCGUGAAAACCUGCAGCUUAACUGUGGGCUUGCGGUCGAUACGGGCAUCACUGGAGUUCGGCAGGGGAGACUGGAAUUCCUGGUGUAGCGGUGAAAUGCGCAGAUAUCAGGAGGAACACCGGUGGCGAAGGCGGGUCUCUGGGCCGAUACUGACGCUGAGGAGCGAAAGCGUGGGGAGCGAACAGG
rnacentral:rRNA from 1 species